rnacentral:rRNA from 1 species
AACGAACGCUGGCGGCACGCCUAACACAUGCAAGUCGAACGAGAGGCAACUCUAGUGGCGCACGGGUGAGUAACGCGUGGGAACGUGCCCUUCAGUACGGAACAACGUCGGGAAACUGACGCUAAUACCGUAUAAUAUCUCCGGAUCAAAGAUUUAUCGCUGAAGGAGCGGCCCGCGUCUGAUUAGCUAGUUGGUGAGGUAAAGGCUCACCAAGGCUACGAUCAGUAGCAGGUCUGAGAGGAUGAUCUGCCACACUGGGACUGAGACACGGCCCAGACUCCUACGGGAGGCAGCAGUUAGGAAUAUUGGACAAUGGGCGAAAGCCUGAUCCAGCCAUGCCGCGUGUGUGAUGAAGGCCUUAGGGUUGUAAAGCACUUUCGUUGGGGAUGAUAAUGACCGUACCCAAAGAAGAAGCCACGGCUAAAUUCGUGCCAGCCGCCGCAGUAA